CGCGCCCUACCGCCGAUGUCUACAGGAAAGCCGAAGAAAAGCUGCGGGAUAGUCUCGUUGGACGGUUCCCCAGUGCUCCCAAGCUAACGCCAGUGACUUGGAUGUCGGUCAACGUGCCAACCAUGAUCACCUGCCUAGUCGGAGCUUGGUUGUGUUCCUAUUGGCGCCUGAAACACAUAACGUAUGACAAAGCUGAGCAGUCUGAGACGACGCAGAGAAAGGCUCAGCAGGAGGUGGAACGCCGAAAUGAGGAGCUUGGUAGAAUC
rnacentral:lncRNA from 1 species